rnacentral:rRNA from 1 species
UACGUAGGGUGCGAGCGUUAAUCGGAAUUACUGGGCGUAAAGCGUGCGCAGGCGGUUAUAUAAGACAGUUGUGAAAUCCCCGGGCUUAACCUGGGAACUGCAUCUGUGACUGUAUAGCUAGAGUACGGUAGAGGGGGAUGGAAUUCCGCGUGUAGCAGUGAAAUGCGUAGAUAUGCGGAGGAACACCGAUGGCGAAGGCAAUCCCCUGGACCUGUACUGACGCUCAUGCACGAAAGCGUGGGGAGCAAACAGG